GAUGCCUUUAAAAGAGAGAUACUUGAUUUUACAUCUUGUUAAGAGUUAAAAACAUCGUGACCAAACACACGUGAGCAGAACAUGCUUCUCUCGCCCUAAAAUGGUUCUUCGAGGAAAAUUAUUCCCGACGAGAUAGUGUGGCUGGUCGCGUAAGUAGAGUUAGCUUGAGGACGCAUGAGAAGAGACCAUAAUCAAGUAAGAUCAAAGACUUGGUCAAAGGUCAACCCAUGGAUUUCCUCCAAACAAUUUGGGCACGGAACCCACACAACAUCAGUUACAUUGCCCGCUCACCCACGAUUAUGUAAUCGACCCAAUAAUGGUUGCAGAAGAGAGGAGGCUGAUAGUUUCGGUUGGAUAUAAAAAAUCCAAUGAACGGAAGAAAAGGGGUUAGCUAACUUUUCACUUAAUUCUGGUAUACUCUUUUUCUAUAUUGAUAAAUUAUUCUUAUCUAUCUUUCUUUUUUUUCAGAAAUUAAGCUUUUUAAAUUAAAGUAAUUGUAAUUAAGCCACGUGAAUUGUAGCACUAAUUCUUUUUGUUUCCAAAAAAAUACUCGAUUAUUGACUUGAGUGUGAGAGAGUUUUCCCCAAAAAAAAAUCCAACACCGAGAAUUGUGAGCACAAGUAAUCCGGUUAAGUAAGUUCUUGGUUGAAUCUAACUGCUCGAGUAGAAAAGUUGCAGUGUUGAGCCGUCACCCCCGACAAAGAAGUUCAAGUAUUGGCGUGGAUACCUGGUUGUAACUCUACCGACCAAAUUUUUGUAUCAACUCAUCUUAGUAUUUGAACAUGAGUUUGAGAAUAUGUUCAUAAAAUAACAAAAAAAAAAUGUGACUAAUACUAGUAUUUUUGGAGUGUAUAGAGACAUAAAUUGAUUUUUUUUUAAUUAAAAAAAGAAGUUUUCAAAAUUUGCAACAUUGCUUCUGAAUCGCUUUCUUAGAGUAAUAGUAGAUUUUGAAUGAUUAGUUUCUAACUCUUCAAAUCUUAUUCCUAAAUUUUCUAAUAUGGUAAACAAACAAUAAUUUCUUGUGAAAAAAGAGGAAGAAGUUGAAAAUGAAUUGCACAAUGCACAAAUAGCGUGAUUCUUUAACUCAUUAUGAAGUGACAUUAAAUAAUAAAAUAUACCUUUUUUUUUUUUCAAAUAAAAAAAUGCUUCCUAAAAAAUCCUUUAAAAUUAAUCUUUCAAAGCAUGAUGAAAGAGACCCUUUUCAAUAGAAUGGGAUUAUGUACAUGUAGGGUUGGUUGGGGUCAUAAAAUACGGUUCACCACACCAGCGCAAGCAAAGACAUUCUCUGAAAUGGCAACUCUGGUCUUCCCAUUUCAUGUUUCUUCGGCUAAUGAUUUGAACGUGGGAGCAAGAAGUGGGGCCACGUUUGAUCAAAAUUGGAGUGUUGAUCAGAUCAACUAUCAUGUGGACUCCAGCUGGCAAAAGCAUCCUCGCCCUUUGAUGCUGUCGCACAUUCUCUUCGCUUGGGCUCGGGCCGGGGUCGGGUCCCUUUCCCUCACCCUCUCUCCAGUAGUCUCCUCCCUCAUCUUUAUCCGCAACUUGUCCACGUCAUGCGCCCACCACCUUAUAAUCCGUCCGUGUCAGGCUCUGUUCAUGUCGGGACCCACCCACCUCCUCAGUCUUUAAAUUUCGGCCUUGUUUCGGGUUUUAUCGUGAUAUCGCCUCAUGUCCGUUGGAUUGGAGCUAAAGUUACUUCGAAUUUAGGGUUUCCAAAUAAAUCUGUGGACGUUUUAUAGAUUAAUAAGAUUAGUUAAUUAUAUCCAAUAAUCAUAUGCGGUACUGUUUUAAAAUUACUAAUAAAUAAUGUCGACAUUGAGAAUUAAUCAAAUAAUCAAUUCUAUGUUGAUGUCAAUAUUUUCUUUUUAUGUAUACUAUUUCGGAUUAAUGACGUAAAUUUAAUUGACCUAAUCAUUCUACACAAAUCCACAAUUCAAAAUGAAAGCGGUACAGAAAUUCAC
rnacentral:lncRNA from 1 species